GACGAACGCUGGCGGCGUGGAUUAGGCAUGCAAGUCGAACGGUAUCAUCCUUUCGGGGGUGAGAGAGUGGCGAACUGGUGAGUAACACGUAGGUUAUCUACCCUCAAGACGGGGACAACCCAGGGAAACUUGGGCUAAUACCGGAUGUGAGCAACUUUUAGUUGUUUGAAAGGUGGCGUAAGCUGUCGCUUGGGGAUGAGCCUGCGUCCUAUUAGUUAGUUGGUGAGGUAACGGCUCACCUAGGCAAUGAUAGGUAGGCGGCCUUAACGGGUGGUCGCCCACACUGGGAUUGAGAUACGGCCCAGACUCCUACGGGAGGCAGCAGUCGAGAAUAGUCUACAAUGGUCGGAAGACUGAUAGUGCGACGCCGCGUGAACGAUGAAUCCCCUUGGGGUUAAAGUUCUUUUAUAUGUGAGCAGUGCUUCUAUAUAACAGUAUGGGGAAGAGAUAUUAGCAUAUGAAUAAGCAACGGCUAACUCCGUGCCCAGCAGGCCGCGGUAAU
rnacentral:rRNA from 1 species